rnacentral:lncRNA from 1 species
CCUUAGUUAUUUUAGUUAUAAAACUAAAUAAUCAAACCAAAAUUAACUAAUAAAACACACUAAAAAUACGUAAAAUAAACCCUUGUCAAAUACCCCCACACUUGAACCAUUGCUUGUCCUCAAGCAAUAAAAAUACAAACCAACAAUGAUCCAAAAUUUGAAAAUAAACAUAUGUAGCAUUUCAACUUCAUUUCCUCAAAACAAAGUAAAUAACCAUUAUGCAAUUAUUAAAUUAAGUUCAAGUACUCAUAAUAUCAAGUAAAGGAGAGCCAAUUAUACCGUCAUUAUAACAAAUUCAAAUCAAUUUUUCAUCCUUACCCAAUCUUACAAGUAAGUAACUCAUAUGGUCAAUAAUAAUGCUUCCUAAACUCAUGAUCAUCUUUUAAUUCUGUUUAAAAAGAUAUUUAUUAAUAUUACAUAUCUAAAUAUUACUUAAGACGUGAGAAUGCCUUUUGACGCGAAGAUCGACAUUUUUAGAUGAAGAUCACCGGUUACUCAACACUUCACAUACUCAAGUUGCUUUGCAUACUCUUAAUUCAAGUACCGUUUUACGCGAAAGUCGACAUUUGUAGAUGAAGACUCCCGGUUACUAAGUACAAGAAUC